rnacentral:misc_RNA from 1 species
AAAAGAUAUAUAAAAUAACUACAGAAAGCAUGUAAAAGUAAAAGGACAACAUGCAAGAAUCAGAUAAGAUGGAACAUCAGAAAUACUGAUUAUAACAAGAAACAAGAUGGACAGAAAGAUUAUAAAAUAUAGAAGUUUGGGAAUAGACAGCAAAUGUCCAGAGCAUUAGGCAGGAGGUCAAAUGUGCUCAUGUAUAUUUCUUCCUCGGCAGCAAUGGUUCAAAUACUUCAGACAGAAAUCCCUCUUCAACCAGCAGCUUGCAGUUCUGGGACAAAUAUU